AAGCCCUAAAUGGAUUAGAUAAAGGGAGUGCUAAUCAGAAAUCUUUUGUUUUUCUGCAUAUAAAUGGCUAAGAUUAAACUCUUAAGAGAAACCAUACAAGACAAUGUAACAAAAUUAAGAGAACAGAAAAAGAAGCUCAUUAUUUUACUGAUUUAAUCACCUUUAAGCCAAUAGUUUUAUCCAUUUUUGAUCGGUUAUUUGAUCGGAAAGGUUGUCUCGCAUGAUUAGAAUAUGUGUUUUAUAGAAUCAUAAUGUUGAAGUUUUAUAACUUUCUUUUAAAAUCCAAUGAAAGGGUCUGUUUAAUUUCACUUAAACUUGAUAAAAAAAAUCAAUGCCAUAAAGUUCAAAUCAUAGUAAAGUGCAUAAACAUAUGAAAAAUAAAAAAUUGAACGAAAAAAGGGCAAAAUAAAAAAAAAACUGUUUUAUCGUAUAUUUGAUCUUUUGCUGACAAAGCACAGAUCUGUCCUAAAAAAGGUCUAAUUUCAAACACUGAUCAGUUUUGUAUCAGUUUGUAAGAUGGAUGAUCUAAAGCAAGUCGGUAUCAAAAAACUAGAGGAUCUCAAGGGUGUUUACAUCCGGGAUUGGCCAAAAUACUGUAAAGAGUACUAUUGCCUGGAUACUUUUCUGGAACUUCAUAAAAAGAAUCCCCAACUGGAGGGUGUAAGCGUUUACACCCUUCCCAAUCUGGAACUCGGUUUAUUUGUAAUCGUGGAUCAUUGGCAAAUUUUUGUGGGCUCCUUGGAAGCGGAAAGAUCCCAGAGCCUUCUGAAAGAAUCCCUACUCAAAUUGGACUUCUUAGGUGGCGAACAAUUCUCCUCCAUGCCAAAAAGAUACUUCAAAGUUGCUACAGAUAUUAUUCAGGCCAAAAAACUAAAAAUGUAUCUCAAUAGUGUCACCUACUCUAUGAUUUUGAACAAAGAAGAGGCUCUACAUUUUCAAGUGGAGUAAGUGUGUACCAAAAUGUAUAAACAUUUAUAUUUUUCAACUUUUUAUACGUUUUUGCAGACCACCAGCUGGCUUUUCCUUAAGAUCAGUAAGUGUGGCCGAUGCUCAAGUGAUUGACGAUCAUUGGGAGUGGAGUGAACAAGGAAGCCUUUCCUUUAUUGCACGCCAAAUUGUUUUUAGCACUAGCGUGGGCUUGUAUAAGGACGAAGACAAUGAACUCGUGGCCUGGUGUAUUAGGGCACAGGAUGGUUUAUUGGCCGUCCUGCAAGUGAAACCAACCUACAAACGCAGGGGAUUUGGUGUUAUGAUUGUUAAAGAGUUCUCCAGGCGAGAAGCUCUCCUGGGUCGCGAUAUAAUCACCGAAGUAAUUCCAGAAAACAAUGCAUCCUUAGGGCUGUUUAAAAAAUUGGGCUUCAAGAUCAACGAUCAGUGUCAUUGGCUUAUAACAGAAGCGUCAGUUUUGGAUAGAUAAGAUUAAAGAUCUUGUUUGUAGAUGAACAAGAUAUAUAUAUGUGCAAUAUA